GACGAACGCUGGCGGCGUGCUUAACACAUGCAAGUCGAGCGAUGAAGCUCCUACGGGAGUGGAUUAGCGGCGGACGGGUGAGUAACACGUGGGUAACCUGCCUCAUAGAGGGGAAUAGCCUUUCGAAAGGAAGAUUAAUACCGCAUAAGAUUGUAGUAUCGCAUGAUAUAGCAAUUAAAGGAGUAAUCCGCUAUGAGAUGGACCCGCGUCGCAUUAGCUGGUUGGUGAGGUAAUGGCUCACCAAGGCGACGAUGCGUAGCCGACCUGAGAGGGGGAUCGGCCACAUUCGGACGGAGACACGGCCCAGACUCCUACGGGAGGCAGCAGUGGGGAAUAAUGCACAAUGGGUGAAACCCUGAUGCAGCAACGCCGCGUGAGUGAUGACGGUCUUCGGAUUGUAAAGCUCUGUCUUCAGGGACGAUAAUGACGGUACCUGAGGAGGAAGCCACGGCUAACUACGUGCCAGCCGCCGCAGUAACAC
rnacentral:rRNA from 1 species